UCCUACACGUUGGCUUCCUCAACAAGCCAUUAGACUUUCUCAUCCCUCUCUUCACCCGUCAGCUUCCUCAAGAAGCUAAGUGGAUUCCUCUUUCUUACCCCACACGUCGGAUCCAAGGAAAAGAGAAACACAAUCCUCUCAUUUUCCCUUGCACCACCAACGGCCUCCAAGACAAAAACCAGUAAAUUUCUUCCCCACCUCUCUUCAUUCGUCGAUUCCAAGGCACCCGAAGGAGAGAAAAUCUCCUCCAGUGUUCCUUCACACGAGAAACCACUCGUCUCUUCCCCAAUCGCGCGACCUCUUCUUUUCCUCAAGCCGAUUCUUCCAUUUCGUAAGCCCAAGUCUCCCACCAAAAAUCUCCAGGGGAAAAUCAACCUCCUUUGAGAUUUCGGAUUUUUUCUCUUCCUCUUCUCAUUGCUAUGUUUCCAUGGCUUGAAAAGGGGAUCAAAUCAGGAGUUUAUUUUCAAGAUUCAAGGAACUUACUUGUAAAGCCACGAGGUAUGAAUGAUGAGGCUGUGGAGCUAGGCACUGCUGAGGAGGGAAGGGCUGAUGCUUAGAAUUCCCUGUCGGUUCAAUUUGAUGAUAAUGGUUAUGUUUUAUAUUUUAUGAUGAGUCUCAUGUUGGGAUGUUUUGUUGGUUUGACUUUAAGAUAAUAUGUCCUUGGGCAUGAUGUAGGUAUUGUGGUGGGAUGAUGGUAAUAGUGUAACUUCUAUAGUGGGGUGAUGGUAACCCCACAUAAGAAGGUUAAAUGUCUUUUGGGUGUGUUGUAGGGAUGGAGUCCCCUUUUUAUUAGAACUAGCGAUGUUUUAAAUGAAUGAAUGGUGGACUUUGAGAGUCCUUUGGGUAA